GCAGUGGUGGUUCAGUGGUAGAAUUCUCACAUCCCAUGUGUGAGAUCCAGGUUCAAUCCUGGCCAAUUCG
rnacentral:tRNA from 1 species